CCUUGUAGCGGCGAGUGAGCGCGCAAAAGCUCAAAUUUGAAAUCUGGCUCUUUCAGAGUCCGAGUUGUAAUUUGAAGAAGGUAUCUUUGGGUCUGGCUCUGUCUAUGUUUCUUGGAACAGAACGUCACAGAGGGUGAGAAUCCCGUGCGAUGAGAUGAUCCAGGCCUAUGUAAAGUUCCUUCGAAGAGUCGAGUUGUUUGGGAAUGCAGCUCUAAGUGGGUGGUAAAUUCCAUCUAAAGCUAAAUAUUGGCGAGAGACCGAUAGCGAACAAGUACAGUGAUGGAAAGAUGAAAAGAACUUUGAAAAGAGAGUGAAAAAGUACGUGAAAUUGUUGAAAGGGAAGGGCUUGAGAUCAGACUUGGUAUUUUGUAUGUUACUUCUUCGGGGGUGGCCUCUACAGUUUAUCGGGCCAGCAUCAGUUUGGGCGGUAGGAGAAUUGCGUUGGAAUGUGGCACGGCUUCGGUUGUGUGUUAUAGCCUUCGUCGAUACUGCCAGCCUAGACUGAGGACUGCGGUUUAUACCUAG
rnacentral:rRNA from 1 species